rnacentral:rRNA from 1 species
CACGUAGGGCGCAAGCGUUGUCCGGAAUUAUUGGGCGUAAAGAGCUCGUAGGCGGUCUGUCGCGUCGGCUGUGAAAACUCGGGGCUCAACCCCGAGCCUGCAGUCGAUACGGGCAGACUAGAGUGCAGUAGGGGAGACUGGAAUUCCUGGUGUAGCGGUGAAAUGCGCAGAUAUCAGGAGGAACACCGGUGGCGAAGGCGGGUCUCUGGGCAACAACUGACGCUGGAGGACGAAAGCCGUGGGGAGCAACAGG